rnacentral:rRNA from 1 species
UACGUAGGGUGCAAGCGUUAUCCGGAAUUAUUGGGCGUAAAGAGCUCGUAGGCGGUUUGUCGCGUCUGCUGUGAAAACUGGGGGCUCAACCCCCAGCCUGCAGUGGGUACGGGCAGACUAGAGUGCGGUAGGGGAGAUUGGAAUUCCUGGUGUAGCGGUGGAAUGCGCAGAUAUCAGGAGGAACACCGAUGGCGAAGGCAGAUCUCUGGGCCACUACUGACGCUGAGAAGCGAAAGGCAUGGGGAGCGAACAGG